UACAGAGGUCUCAAGCGUUGUUCGGAUUCAUUGGGCGUAAAGGGUGCGUAGGCGGCGGCGUAAGUCGGGUGUGAAAUCCCAGGGCUCAACCCUGGAACUGCAUUCGAUACUGCGUCGCUGGAGGACUGGAGAGGAGACUGGAAUUCACGGUGUAGCAGUGAAAUGCGUAGAUAUCGUGAGGAAGGCCAGUGGCGAAGGCGAGUCUCUGGACAGUUCCUGACGCUGAGGCACGAAGGCCAGGGGAGCAAACGGG
rnacentral:rRNA from 1 species